rnacentral:rRNA from 1 species
GAUGAACGCUGGCGGCAUGCCUAACACAUGCAAGUCGAACGAAGCUCCGACCUUUGAGAUUUCGGUCAAGAAGGAAGGAAGACUUAGUGGCGAACGGGUGAGUAAUGCAUGAGCAACCUGCCCUUCAGAGGGGGACAACAGCUGGAAACGGCUGCUAAUACCGCAUAACAUUUUCGGAAGGCAUCUUCUGAAAAUCAAAGAUUUAUCGCUGAAGGAUGGGCUCAUGUCUGAUUAGUUAGUUGGUGAGGUAACGGCUCACCAAGACCGCGAUCAGUAGCCGGUCUGAGAGGAUGAACGGCCACAUUGGGACUGAGAUACGGCCCAG